rnacentral:lncRNA from 1 species
GCUCUCUAAAACUGCUUCUCCUCAUCAGUCAGUCAGUGGUCAGUCAACAAGCCCUGAUCAGGCAUAUUCAGGAGGACAUGAAUGUUCCCUGUCAUUCUCUGUUAGACCAGGAGUCAGGAGCCCUGAGUUCAAGUCUUUCACCAGUGACUUAACCCUGAAGACAGAGACAUUGCUCAUGAAAUGUGCAAACGGCCCAGAGCUGUGAAGGAUGAUUAAUACGCUUUUUGACAGAGUCGGGGCCCAGAAGGACCUUGACGAGCCGGAGAAUGGAGUUGAAUAUAAUGAAUGAAUUAUGAAUAAAUGUAAAUAAAGCCUUAUAUGGUUUCAAGAUAUCAGCUUCACAAGCAUGUAGGGGAGAUAGAGUUACAGGGGACCGCAAGCUCCAGAUGAGUCAGCCGUCAGUCAACAAGUAUUUAUUAGGGGGUGGCUAGGUAGCCAGGCAGGCACACAGGAGGUCUUGAGUUCAAAUCUCACCUCAGACACAGUCUAGCCGUGUGACCCUGGGCAAGUCACUUAACCCCCAUUUCCUGGCACCAAUGUUGGUUCCAAGAUGGAAGAAUCAUCAAACUCCCUCGGUUGGAUGGAAGUCCGGAUGGCUGGUGCCAGCCCAGGAAGCGGAGGAUCUCCCUGGCACCUUCCGUGUCUGCCCACGUUCGAAGUGCUCCCCGGCGUCUGCUUCUGUCCCCAUCAUGGCCACUGCAGCAAAUGUUCAUCCUCCUCCCCGUCGGCCAGGGAUGUCUUUCCGGGCCUGGAGCAGACAGCCCCCGACUCACCGGCUACUCUCAAGCUGCCCGUGCGAUGCUUCUUGGAUCCACGAGGGAAUUGGGGGGCCGGGGGACACCCAGCAUGGACGAGGAGCCCCGAGAAGGGCUCAGCAAGCCCUGCCACCAGAGCUCCCAGCCUUCCCGGAGCCGCUGGCACACCCCUGGUUAGUGCGAGAUGGAAAUGUUGUUGUCAGGCCAGGGCGACAGUUCUGGGUACUCUUCCCUGCUCAGACUCCUUCUGGGCUAGUGAUGUCUUCCCCAGCACUCAGGCCGGACCGUGAGAAAGGGGACGGCUAG